AGAGUUUGAUUCUGGCUCAGGAUGAACGCUAGCGAUAGGCUUAACACAUGCAAGUCGAGGGGUAACGUGUUGGAAGCUUGCUUCCGAUGACGACGACCGGCGGAUGGGUGCGUAACGCGUAUGCAACUUGCCUCACAGAGGAGAAUAACCCGGAGAAAUCCGGACUAAUGCUCCAUACACUCUUUAGCACGCCUGUGCGUAAGAGGAAAGAUUUAUCGCUGUGAGAUAGGCAUGCGUCCUAUUAGGUAGUUGGUGAGGUAACGGCUCACCAAGCCGACGAUAGGUAGGGGUGCUGAGAGGCAGAUCCCCCACAUUGGGACUGAGACACGGCCCAA
rnacentral:rRNA from 1 species